rnacentral:rRNA from 1 species
UACGGGGGGGGGCAAGCGUUGUUCGGAAUUACUGGGCGUAAAGGGCUCGUAGGUGGCCAACUAAGUCAGACGUGAAAUCCCUCAGCUUAACUGGGGAACUGCGUCUGAUACUGGAUGGCUUGAGAUUGGGAGAGGGAUGCGGAAUUCCGGGUGUAGCGGUGAAAUGCGUAGAUAUCAGGAGGAACACCGGUGGCGAAGGCGGCUUGCUGGGCCUUACCUGACGCUGAGGAGCGAGAGCGUGGGGGAGCGAACAGG